rnacentral:rRNA from 1 species
AAAUGAAUUGACGGGGGCCCGCACAAGCGGUGGAGCAUGUGGUUUAAUUCGAAGCAACGCGAAGAACCUUACCAAGACUUGACAUCCCGAUGCUAACUAUAGAGAUAUAGUGUUUCUUCGGAACAUUGGUGACAGGUGGUGCAUGGUUGUCGUCAGCUCGUGUCGUGAGAUGUUGGGUUAAGUCCCGCAACGAGCGCAACCCUUGUCGUUAGUAGCCAGCAUUUAGGGUGGGCACACUAGCGAGACUGCCGUGGAUAACGCGGAGGAAGGUGGGGAUGACGUCAAAUCAUCAUGCCCCUUAUGUCUUGGGCAACACACGUGCUACAAUGGCAGCUACAAAGAGAAGCGAAGCGGUAACGUGGAGCAAACCUCAAAAAAGCUGUCCCAGUUCGGAUUGUGGUCUGCAACUCGACCACAUGAAGCUGGAAUCGCUAGUAAUCGCGGAUCAGCAUGCCGCGGUGAAUACGUUCUCGGGCCUUGUACACACCGCCCGU